UUAUUUGAAAUAGGAUACAACCUCCCCAAUCGGGUAAGCAAUGGACAGUAAAAGCUAAGUAGGCUUAAAAGCAGCCACCUUUCAAAAAGCGUCAAAGCUUUUCUACUAUAACCCAUAAUCCCUAAAAUACUAACCAACCCCUAAUCCCCACUGAACUACUUUAUAUGCCUUAUAAAAAUAAUUAUGCUAGAACUAGUAACAAGAAGCAGCCCUUCUCCACAAUGUAAAUAUAGGCCAAAACGGACCCUCCAUUGGCAAUUAACGCAAAUGCAAAUAUCAUAACAACACCUCUAGAAAACCUUAUGACCACCCGCGUUACCCUCACACUAGAACAUUACAGGAAAGAUUAACAGAGAAAGAAGGAACUCGGCAAAUUUUAGCCCCGCCUGUUUACCAAAAACAUCGCCUCUUGUUAAGACAUAAGAGGUCCAGCCUGCCCAGUGAUAAAAUUUAACGGCCGCGGUACACUAACCGUGCGAAGGUAGCAUAAUCACUUGUUCUUUAAAUGGGGACUCGUAUCAACGGCACCACGAGGGCUACACUGUCUCCUUUCUCCAAUCAGUAAAACUGAUCUCCCCGUGAAGAAGCGGGGAUACACCU
rnacentral:rRNA from 1 species